rnacentral:tRNA from 1 species
GCCUUUCUGGCUCAGUAGGUAGAGCAUGUGACUCUUAAUCUUGGGUUGUGAGUUUGAGCCCCACAUUGGGUA